rnacentral:rRNA from 1 species
CCUACGGGGGGCACCAGUGGGGAAUAUUGCACAAUGGGCGCAAGCCUGAUGCAGCCAUGCCGCGUGUAUGAAGAAGGCCUUAGGGUUGUAAAGUACUUUCAGUUGGGAGGAAGGCGUUGAUGCUAAUAUCAUCAACGAUUGACGUUACCAACAGAAGAAGCACCGGCUAACUCCGUGCGAGCAGCCGCGGUAGUACGGAGGGUGCAAGCGUUAAUCGGAAUUACUGGGCGUAAAGCGCACGCAGCCGGUUGAUUAAGUUAGAUGUGAAAUCCCCGGGCUUACCCUGGGAAUGGCAUCUAAGACUGGUCAGCUAGAGUCUUGUAGAGGGGGGUAGAAUUCCAUGUGUAGCGGUGAAAUGCGUAGAGAUGUGGAGGAAUACCGGUGGCGAAGGCGGCCUCCUGGACAAAGACUGACGCUCAGGUGCGAAAGCGUGGGGAGCAAACAGGAUUAGAUACCCCGGUAGUC